rnacentral:rRNA from 1 species
CUCAAUGAAAUUAAAUAGCCGCAACACUUGUGCUAAGGUAGCAUAAUCAUUUGUUUUCUAAUUAAAAAAUAGCAUGAAAGAUUUAACAUUUUAAUUUCUUUCUAAUAUAUAAUUAUUUAAAUUAUUUUAAAUAUAAAAAAAUAUUUAUUUAUUAAGAAGACAACAAGACCCUAUUGAACUUAACUAAAGUUAUACUGGGGAAGUAAAUUAAAUAAAAUUUUAAUAUAAAAUUUAAAAACAACCUAAUAUAAUUAAAAAAUCAAGUUACCAUAGGGAUAACAGCAAAAUAACUUUCCAAAGACCUUAUCCCAAAAGUAGCUUUUGACCUCGAUGUUGAAUUAAUAAUCUAUUAAAU